rnacentral:rRNA from 1 species
GACGAACGCUGGCGGCGUGCUUAACACAUGCAAGUCGAGCGGUAAGGCCCUUUCGGGGGUACGACCGAGCGGCGAACGGGUGAGUAACACGUGGGUGACCUGCCCUCAGCUCUGGGAUAAGCCUGGGAAACCGGGUCCUAAUACUGGAUAUGACUCCAUGACGCAUGUUGUGGGGUGGAAAGCCUUGUGCGGCUGAGGAUGGGCCCGCGGCCUAUCAGCUUGUUGGUGGGGUGAGGCCUACCAAGGCGACGACGGGUAGCCGGCCUGAGAGGGCGACCGGCCACACUGGGACUGAGACACGGCCCAGACUCCUACGGGAGGCAGGCAGUGGGGAAUCUUGCGCAAUGGGCGAAAGCCCUGACGCAGCGACGCCGCGUGAGGGAUGACGGCCUGG